rnacentral:rRNA from 1 species
GACGAACGCUGGCGGCGUGCCUAAUACAUGCAAGUAGAACGCUGAAGAGAGGAGCUUGCUCUUCUUGGAUGAGUUGCGAACGGGUGAGUAACGCGUAGGUAACCUGCCUGGUAGCGGGGGAUAACUAUUGGAAACGAUAGCUAAUACCGCAUAAAAUGGAUUAUCGCAUGAUAAUCCAUUGAAAGGUGCAAAUGCAUCACUACCAGAUGGACCUGCGUUGUAUUAGCUAGUUGGUGGGGUAACGGCUCACCAAGGCGACGAUACAUAGCCGACCUGAGAGGGUGAUCGGCCACACUGGGACUGAGACACGGCCCAGACUCCUACGGGAGGCAGCAGUAGGGAAUCUUCGGCAAUGGACGGAAGUCUGACCGAGAAACGCCGCGUGAGUGAAGAAGGUUUUCGGAUCGUAAAGCUCUGUUGUAAGAGAAGAAAGAGUGUGAGAGUGGAAAGUUCACACUGUGACGGUAUCUUACAAGAAAGGGACGGCUAACUACGUG